CCUACGGGAGGCAGCAGUGAGGAAUAUUGGACAAUGGGCGCAAGCCUGAUCCAGCCAUGCCGCGUGCAGGAAGAAGCAUCUAUGGUGUGUAAACUGCUUUUGUACAGGAAGAAACACUCCCUCGUGAGGGAGCUUGACGGUACUGUAAGAAUAAGGACCGGCUAACUCCGUGCCAGCAGCCGCGGUAAUACGGAGGGUCCGAGCGUUAUCCGGAAUCAUUGGGUUUAAAGGGUCCGUAGGCGGUUUAAUAAGUCAGUGGUGAAAUCUGGUCGCUCAACGAUCAAACGGCCAUUGAUACUGUUAGACUUGAAUUAUAAGGAAGUAACUAGAAUAUGUAGUGUAGCGGUGAAAUGCUUAGAUAUUACAUGGAAUACCAAUUGCGAAGGCAGGUUACUACUUAUGGAUUGACGCUGAUGGACGAAAGCGUGGGGAGCGAACAGGAUUAGAUACCCUGGUAGUCCACGCCGUAAACGAUGGAUACUAGNUGUGAGNAUNUGAGUGNGUAGACGAAGUAGAGAAGUAGUACCACCGCGGGAGGUAACGGUUCGUCGAAGAAGUAGUUAAACGUUAACGAAAGAAGUUAGUUAGGACGGNGAGAGAGCGACGACGACGACGAGGAGGAGGAG
rnacentral:rRNA from 1 species